ACGAAGAAGCCGAGGUCGAAACUGGAAAUCGUCAAUGCCAUCGAGAAUCGGACGAUGACAGACGCGUGAAUAGUCGCAAGCGGAGGGGCCAUCCACUGUCGACGAAGCCUUACCUGGUGACUCAACUUGCGUAUGUCGGUUUCAAAGCGCCGAAAGAAAGGGAAAGUACCCGGGACAUCGAAGCAUGGGAGCCUGGCAUGCUCUCAGUCCGCGGAAAGCGACUGAACGCAUACGAGAAACGAUCCUCCGAUCUGUCGCGCAUUCGUGGAAAUCGCGAUCGAGAUUCGUGGUGUGCACUGCUGGAAUUAUCAUUCGUAGGACACUCGCUGGUCCUGAUCGGUGAGAUUUUUCCAUGACGCAGAUCAUGCCAGAUCGAAAAAUGGAAUCGUCCGGUUAACCAAUCACAAACACGAAGGAUAUAUAUCAAUCAUGAUUCUAAACACGUAUUGGAUUCGCGGAAUCGAAUUAUCCGAAGGUGGCGCGGAUGCUUCAGAAUUUCUGAGUGCCUGACAUUUUGGCCAAUUAGGAGGAGUCACGAUGUUGGAUCCAGUUCUUGGAAUAACGACGGUAUGGUGGUUGGUGAUAUACGCCAGUGUUCUGCUGCUGCUGUCGCCCUUGGUGCUGCUUUUCAUCGUGUUCCUACCGAAUUUCCCGAUACUGUUGCUCAGAAGAAUGUGCUACAUACCGAUAGAAUCUAUAUAACGAAAUCGAGUUCGUCCAUUUCUUAGAGAUCGUCUCUCGUUUAUUUAGAAUUUUACAUAACGGUAUGGAAGGUCAGUAAGUUAAUUCUUUAGAGAAAAAACAAUUGUAAAAAGCACAAAAUUAUGCAGAAAGAAUUUUGAUAUCCUUCUAAUCGUAGAAGAAAUUGCCUCUUGGAGGAAGAAUUUCUUGGUGAAAUUAUAAAUAUACGAAGAGAGUUACGAUAGUCUAUGAUUCUAUAAAAUUCUACAGUUAGUUUUAAAUUAUAUUUCCGAGCAUUGUAAAUUCAAAGUAAUUACUUUUAUUAUUUUGUAAGAAAGUAUGUGCGGGAUCGAUAUCUAUGACAUUGUUCGAGAAUGGAAUGUACUGAUUGUUAAGACUACUAUCUGCUCAUCAAUGUAUAUAUAUUUCCGCUGUUCAAUCGAAUCAAAAUUAAUGAUAAAGUCAACAUCCGUCGAUAUGUAACUUUUAAUUAAUAACUUUGUAUAUUUAAGUUUAUUAGGAGCAUCACUCGUAUCAUUCAAAUAUUUCCCAUUUUAUAUUAAAAUUACAAUGUAUCUUGGAAUACCAAGUACCUACACUCUACAUGAUUAACUAGAAUUAUAAAACGUUUUAUAUUAAAAAAUUUGUAUUUAUAUAUAAAUCAACCGUUAGUUGUAUUCCAAGUUGUAACUUUUCGCACACGAUUCGAAUCCUCAAUCGGUUAUUUCCUUCUCACGAUUCUUAUAAUCUUUCGUUGCCAAGAUUUCGCCAUGAUUCUACGCGCGAAAAGAACGGAUAUGUAAAAUAACCGAUAUAACGGGAACAGAAUUUCGCAAAGUAUAAAUCGUGAAAAUUUCAAAAGAGACAACCUUCGUCGAUUCUGGCGUCAUUUUAAGUUAAUUUAAUUAACAUAAGAUAAGCAGUUUUUUUGCAUACAAACGUCCGAUCAGUGAGAAGAUCGAAGAUGUUCCUGAGAACAGCGAUUGUCUCGCAAAUUUUCUCGAGGUAUUGUUCCAUAUUUUCUUUUCCUUUUUUUUUCAUAUUUUACGUAAACGGGAGUAUGCGUCAUUGAACAUUCACCAUUGAUCUUGUUGGCCUCUUUUUCUUGGAAUUAUCGUCGUCGAAUUAUUUUUUUUCCUGUAAUAUUUUUUUAUAAACGAUACAUUACGAUCGAUUGGAUAAUUAAUACAUGUCAGUUCGAAGUACGAUGUAAACUUUCGUGCAUACGUGAAACGUAUACAGUCACUUGUUAUGUUGGACCAAUCAUCGAUGAGUUUAAUAACGAUCGAAAACUUUAAUGCCUCUUUUUCUUUAUUUUUCGUUCGAAAGGUUUCAAUCUGCUCGGGGAAUUUACGUUCCCCGAUCAUUAUUAAAUGCCAUGCAUUUCUAUCGCAUAUUCACGAGAAAAAUAAAAAAAGAUAAUAAAAUAAUGUAACGUACUUGAUAGCUAACGAGUACCUGAGCACGGGUAUCAUCAAUCAAUUUAUUGAUAAAUGCUCGAUCGAUGAAAGAGUAUCCUCUAUAUAUAGAACGCGUUUAGAUCUUUUAUUAUCCAACUUUGCCAUUUGUGUGAGAAGCCCUAAUCGUUAGUAUAUUAUCAGUGUACAUUAUCAGUGUCAAUUUAAUAUCACCAUUAUUGGCUUUUAA